GCCUGUGUCGCUCACCUUGGUCUAUGUGAAUAUUAAACAAUGGACACAGAUGGAUUCAUGACAAAAUUGUGUUUUGGUGAUGGUGAUGUGUUUUGUAGAUUUUACUUUACUAACAUUCUUGCUGCUUACAAUUAUCUCUAUCUAUAACAGUACUUUCUGUGGAAAAUGUUAUUGAAAAUCUUCAAAUUUUAAGAAAAAUUGUUAAAAAUUGACUAUGAAGGGCAAUAACUCCUUAGGGGGUCAAUUGACUAUUUUGGUCAUAGUGACUUAUUUUUAGUUCUUACUUUGCUGUACAUUAUUGCUGUUUACAGUUUAUCUCUAUCUAUAAUAAUAUUCAAGAUAACAAAAAAAACAGCAAAAUUUCCUCAAAAUUACCAAUGCAGGGGCAGCAACCUAACAACCGAUUAUCCGAUUCAUCUGAAAAUUCCAGGGCAGAUAGAUCGUGACCUGAUCAACAAUUUUACUUCCUGUCAGAUUUGCUCUUAAUGCUUUGGUUUUUGAGUUAUAAGCCAAAAACUGCAUUUUACCCCCAUGUUCUAUUUUUAGCCAUGGCGGCCAUCUUGGUUUGUUGGCCGAGUUACCGGACACAUUUUUUAACUAGAUACCCCAAUUAUGGCUAAGUUUGGUUAAAUUUGGCCCAGUAGUUUCAGAGGAGAAGAUUUUUUCUAAAAGAUUACUAAGAUUUACGAAAAAUGGUUAAAAAUUGACUAUAAAGGGCAAUAACUCCUAAAGUGGUCAACUGACCUUUUUAGUCCUUGUGACUUAUUUGUAGAUCUUACUUUGCUGAACAUUAUUGCUGUUUACAGUUUAUCUCUAUCUAUAAUAAUAUUCACG
rnacentral:lncRNA from 1 species